AUUGAACGCUGGCGGCAGGCCUAACACAUGCAAGUCGAACGGUAACAGAAAGCAGCUUGCUGCUUUGCUGACGAGUGGCGGACGGGUGGGUAAUGUCUGGGAAACUGCCUGAUGGAGGGGGAUAACUACUGGAAACGGUAGCUAAUACCGCAUAACGUCGCAAGACCAAAGAGGGGGACCUUCGGGCCUCUUGCCAUCGGAUGUGCCCAGAUGGGAUUAGCUUGUUGGUGGGGUAACGGCUCACCAAGGCGACGAUCCCUAGCUGGUCUGAGAGGAUGACCAGCCACACUGGAACUGAGACACGGUCCAGACUCCUACGGGAGGCAGCAGUGGGGAAUAUUGCACAAUGGGCGCAAGCCUGAUGCAGCCAUGCCGCGUGUAUGAAGAAGGCCUUCGGGUUGUAAAGUACUUUCAGCGGGGAGGAAGGGAGUAAAGUUAAUACCUUUGCUCAUUGACGUUACCCGCAGAAGAAGCACCGGCUAACUCCGUG
rnacentral:rRNA from 1 species